GACGAACGCUGGCGGCGUGCCUAAUACAUGCAAGUAGAACGCAGUUGCGAACGGGUGAGUAACGCGUAGGUAACUGCCUCAUAGCGGGGGAUAACUAUUGGAAACGAUAGCUAACACCGCAUACUUUGAGAUGGACCUGCGUUGUAUUUGCUAGUUGGUGAGGUAAAGGCUCAACAAGGCGACGAUACAUAGCCGACCUGAGAGGGGGGUCGGCCACACUGGGAAUGGGACCAGGCCCAGACUCCCACGGGCGGCAGCAGUAGGGGAUCUUCGGCAAUGGACGGAAGUCUGGCCAAGCAACGCCGCGUGGGUGAAGAAGGUUUUCGGGUCGUAAAGCUCUGUUGUUAGAGAAGCGUUAACUAACCAGAAAGGGACGGCUAACUACGUGCCAGCCGCCGCGGUAAUUC
rnacentral:rRNA from 1 species